AGCAUAUCAAUAAGCGGAGGAAAAGAAACCAACAGGGAUUGCCCUAGUAACGGCGAGUGAAGCGGCAACAGCUCAAAUUUGAAAUCUGGCCUCGGCCCGAGUUGUAAUUUGCAGAGGAAGCUUUAGGCGCGGCACCUUCUGAGUCCCCUGGAACGGGGCGCCACAGAGGGUGAGAGCCCCGUAUAGUUGGAUGCCUAGCCUGUGUAAAGCUCCUUCGACGAGUCGAGUAGUUUGGGAAUGCUGCUCAAAAUGGGAGGUAAAUUUCUUCUAAAGCUAAAUACCGGCCAGAGACCGAUAGCGCACAAGUAGAGUGAUCGAAAGAUGAAAAGCACUUUGAAAAGAGGGUUAAAUAGCACGUGAAAUUGUUGAAAGGGAAGCGCUUGUGACCAGACUUGCGCCGGGCUGAUCAUCCGGUGUUCUCACCGGUGCACUCUGCCCGGCUCAGGCCAGCAUCGGUUCUCGCGGGGGGACAAAGGCCCGGGGAACGUAGCUCCUCCGGGAGUGUUAUAGCCCCGGGCGUAAUACCCUCGCGGGGACCGAGGUCCGCGCGUCUGCAAGGAUGCUGGCGUAAUGGUCAUCAGCGACCCGUCUUGAAACACGGACCAAGGAGUCAAGGUUUUGCGCGAGUGUUUGGGUGUAAAACCCGCACGCGUAAUGAAAGUGAACGUAGGUGAGAGCUUCGGCGCAUCAUCGACCGAUCCUGAUGUUCUCGGAUGGAUUUGAGUAGGAGCGUAAAGCCUUGGACCCGAAAGAUGGUGAACUAUGCUUGGAUAGGGUGAAGCCAGAGGAAACUCUGGUGGAGGCUCGCAGCGGUUCUGACGUGCAAAUCGAUCGUCAAAUCUGAGCAUGGGGGCGAAAGACUAAUCGAACCAUCUAGUAGCUGGUUACCGCCGAAGUUUCCCUCAGGAUAGCAGUGUUGUUCUUCAGUUUUAUGAGGUAAAGCGAAUGAUUAGGGACUCGGGGGCGCUCUUUAGCCUUCAUCCAUUCUCAAACUUUAAAUAUGUAAGAAGCCCUUGUUACUUAACUGAACGUGGGCCUUCGAAUGCAUCAACACUAGUGGGCCAUUUUUGGUAAGCAGAACUGGCGAUGCGGGAUGAACCGAACGCGGGGUUAAGGUGCCGGAGUGGACGCUCAUCAGACACCACAAAAGGCGUUAGUACAUCUUGACAGCAGGACGGUGGCCAUGGAAGUCGGAAUCCGCUAAGGACUGUGUAACAACUCACCUGCCGAAUGUACUAGCCCUGAAAAUGGAUGGCGCUCAAGCGUCCCACCCAUACCCCGCCCUCAGGGUAGGAACGAUGCCCUGAGGAGUAGGCGGCCGUGGAGGUCAGUGACGAAGCCUAGGGCGUGAGCCCGGGUCGAACGGCCUCUAGUG
rnacentral:rRNA from 2 species